rnacentral:ncRNA from 1 species
CACCCUUGGAGGACUGAACUGGAGAGGGGUUUCGUGUGAACAGUGGCCGUAAAAAGAGUUAGUCGGUCCUAAGUUCAAGGCGAAAGCCCCAUUAAUUUUCAAGUAAAACAAAAAUGCCUAACUAUAUAAACAAAGCGAAUAUAAUACACUUGAAUAAUUUUGAACGAAAGGGAAUACGGUUCCAAUUCCGUAACCUGUUGAGUAUCCGUUUGUUAUUAAAUAUGGGCCUCGUGCUCAUCCUGGCAACAGGAACGACCAUAAAGAAGCCGUCGAGAGAUAUCGGAAGAGUUUUCUUUUCUGUUUUAUAGCCGUACUACCAUGGAAGUCUUUCGCAGAGAGAUAUGGUAGAUGGGCUAGAAGAGCAUGACAUAUACUGUUGUGUCGAUAUUUUCUCCUCGGACCUUGAAAAUUUAUGGUGGGGACACGCAAACUUCUCAACAGGCCGUACCAAUAUCCGCAGCUGGUCUCCAAGGUGAAGAGUCUCUAGUCGAUAAAAUAAUGUAGGUAAGGGAAGUCGGCAAAUUAGAUCCGUAACUUCGGGAUAAGGAUUGGCUCUGAAGAUUGAGAUAGUCGGGCUUGAUUGGGAAACAAUAACAUGGUUUAUGUGCUCGUUCUGGGUAAAUAGAGUUUCUAGCAUUUAUGUUAGUUACUUGUUCCCCGGAUAGUUUAGUUACGUAGCCAAUUGUGGAACUUUCUUGCUAAAAUUUUUAAGAAUACUAUUUGGGUUAAACCAAUUAGUUCUUAUCAAUUAUAACGAUUAUCAAUUAACAAUCAAUUCAGAAACUGGGCACGGACUUGGGGGAAUUCCUGAACUGGUCUAAAUUAAAAACAAAGCAUUUGUGGAAUCGGCCCUUAGCCGGGGUUG